rnacentral:misc_RNA from 1 species
AAUUCUCAACCUUUCUGGCUCUUGUGAGACAAGUUAGGCUUGGACAAUGGGAGUUGCUGGCUCUUUCUUUGUAAAAGUCAGCUCUUCUCAAAUGCAUUAGCAGGAUCAUCACUGAUCAUCUUUGGUAUGAUAAUUAUCUAUAUCACAGACAAUCAGUAUCCUUCAUGGAAGAUUUUGCUUCUAGUAGUCUCUCCAGAGACAAUAUAUGAAAA